UUUCCAGAAUACAGGGAGCCUAUAUUAGCGUGCAGUCUACCACAUAUCACUAAAAAUACAACACAUGCUGAAAUUAAAUGGCGCACUAAGUAAGUUGCUUGUUCGUAGAAAAAAAAAAACCCGAGAGAUGGCAGUUUAGGGAAGCAAGUCCGGUAUGUUUCUAUGAACGGAACUGAACUUGACUACUGCGUUGGUAAGCAGAAAAGCUUGAUUAUCAUAUGACAUGUGUUAGAAGACCCUAAUUUGUGAUCUUGAAGAGCAAACAUGUGCCAUGCUGCAAGUUGGAAAGGGGUUUCUUUUGUUGAAUACGUGCGCGAUCAUGCUGCAAGCUGAAAGGGCGGAUUUAGCAGUUUUGUCAUUUUAGCUACAAAGCAUGGACGCGGCAGAAGUUGUCGAAUCCCCGUGCUGAUACGGCCGGACAAGGGGACACGCUCGGUAUCCCGCCGUAUUUCCCGAUUUGCGAAUUAAAAAAAAAAAAGGGAGGACACGGCAGGGACACGCAGGGGUCACGUGGGGGACUCGGUCGGCCAAACUACGCUUCGGCCCGAUAGGAAAGCCCUUUUCUUUGCAGGUCGCAUUCACGGCCGCAACAAAGCUGGGAAACCUCCUGGACUGGUCGCGACGCCACAAAAUAUAGGGUUUCCCAGAUGCUGGACUCGCCGCCGCCACCUCCUGGAGUCGCCGCUGCCACCGCCGGAUGGAUUUGCCGCCGUCUCCCAAGUGCAGCAGCCUCUCCUCCCAACGGCAACCAAGCUGGAGCAGGAAACAACAUCUGGGAGUGGCGCCACCGCAGGUAGCCAAUCAUCUGUGGGUGAGACCGUGAGAGUGAAGGAGGACAACCACCUGGUGAUGUGUUUUGCAAGUUGCAAUGACAAUUGACCUGGAUCUGGUCUGGAUGAUCAAUCAAGCACUUGAAAUAGGAGACAACAGAUAACAAAUGGGGCAGUAUUCUUUAUUCUGAUCUCUUUCGUGUUAUGUUUUGUCUUUAACUCUAUAUUACAUGGCAUAUAUUUAUUUAUUUUUAUAUA